rnacentral:rRNA from 1 species
AGCCCCCUUCCCCCCCCCCCUCCCCCAAAUUUAAACUAAAAUAUUCUCACAGUCUAGUAAAGAAGAUUAAAAAACUCCCCAGAGCUAUAAAUGUACCGCAAGGGAAAGAUGAAAUAAAAAUUAAAUAAAUCUUAAGCACAAAAAAGUAAAGAUUCUUUCUCGUACCUUUUGCAUCAUGGUUUAGCUAGUCUAAUUAGGCAAAAAGACCUUAAGUCUAACACCCCGAAACUAAGUGAGCUAAUUUAGGGCCGCUUAACGAGCCCACCCGUCUAUGUUGCAAAAUAGUGGGAAGACCCUAAAAUAGAAGUGACAAACCUAACGAACUUAGUAAUAGCUGGUUUCUCAAGAAAAGAAUUUAGUUCAACAUAAAAUAACCCUACAUCCCAUAAUUUACACUCUUAUUUUAAAGCAAUUCAAAUGAGGUACAGCCCAUUUGACACAGGAUUCAACCUUUACUAACGGGUAACACUUGAUUUUCACUUAAAAGUAGGCCUAAAAGCAGCCACCUUUUAAAAAGCGUCAAAGCUUAACUAUGAAAAUCUUAAAUUCUCAGAUCCCUACUGACCCCUUUAACUGUACUGAGAACUUCUAUAAACCUAUAGAACCUUUUCUGCUAAAACUAGUAACAAGAGGUCCCCCUCUCCUUAAUGCAAGCACAACCCAGCAAGAACCAAUCACUGGCAACUAGCAGACAAUAAAUGUAGCAACUUCGCUAGAAAACCCUACUUCCACCUCUGUUAACCUAACACUAGAGCAUUUCAAGAAAGAUUAAAAGAAAGAGAAGGAAUUCCGCAAAUAUAGCCUCGCCUGUUUACCAAAAACAUCGCCUCUUGACCCACCCAUAAGAGGUCCAGCCUGCCCAGUGACUCUGUUCAACGGCCGCGGUAUCCUAACCGUGCAAAGGUAGCGUAAUCACUUGUCUUCUAAAUAAAGACCAGUAUGAAAGGCACCACGAGGGCUAAACUGUCUCCUCUUUCUGAUCAGUGAACCUAAUCCCCCCGUGAAGAAGC